CCCUUAGAUGUUCGGGGCCGCACGCGCGCUACACUGAAGGAAUCAGCACGUCUUUCUCCUUGUCCGAAAGGACUGGGUAACCCGCUGAACCUCCUUCGUGCUAGGGAUUGGGGCUUGUAAUUCUUCCCCAUGAACGAGGAAUUCCCAGUAAGCGCGAGUCAUAAGCUCGCGUUGAUUACGUCCCUGCCCUUUGUACACACCGCCCGUCGCUACUACCGAUUGGAUGGUUUAGUGAGAUCCUCGGAUUGGUCCCGGCGCGGACUCUGGUCGUGCCGGAGUGCCGAAAAGAAUGUCGAACUUGAUCAUCUAGAGGAAGUAAAAGUCGUAACA
rnacentral:rRNA from 1 species